UAACGCGUGGGAAUCUGCCUAUCAGUGGGGAAUAACGACGGGAAACUGUCGCUAAUACCGCAUACGCCCUUAGGGGGAAAGAUUUAUCGCUGAUAGAUGAGCCCGCGUACGAUUAGCUAGUUGGUGAGGUAAUGGCUCACCAAGGCAACGAUCGUUAGGUGGUCUGAGAGGAUGAUCAGCCACACUGGGACUGAGACACGGCCCAGACUCCUACGGGAGGCAGCAGUGGGGAAUAUUGGACAAUGGGCGAAAGCCUGAUCCAGCAAUGCCGCGUGAGUGAUGAAGGCCUUAGGGUUGU
rnacentral:rRNA from 1 species